rnacentral:rRNA from 1 species
AGUGAACGCUGGCGGUAGGCCUAACACAUGCAAGUCGAACGGCAGCACAGUAAGAGCUUGCUCUUACGGGUGGCGAGUGGCGGACGGGUGAGGAAUACAUCGGAAUCUACUUUUUCGUGGGGGAUAACGUAGGGAAACUUACGCUAAUACCGCAUACGACCUACGGGUGAAAGCAGGGGAUCUUCGGACCUUGCGCGAUUGAAUGAGCCGAUGUCGGAUUAGCUAGUUGGCGGGGUAAAGGCCCACCAAGGCGACGAUCCGUAGCUGGUCUGGGAGGAUGAUCAGCCACACUGGAACUUAGACACGGUCCAGACUCCUACGGGAGGCAGCAGUGGGGAAUAUUGGACAAUGGGCGCAAGCCUGAUCCAGCCAUACCGCGUGGGUGAAGAAGGCCUUCGGGUUGUAAAGCCCUUUUGUUGGGAAAGAAAAGCAGCAGGUUAAUACCCCGCUGUUCUGACGGUACCCAAAGAAUAAGCACCGGCUAACUUCGUG